rnacentral:rRNA from 1 species
CUCUUCGGGGAUGAUUAAACCGGCGCACGGGUGAGUAACACGUGAGUGACCUGCCUUUUAGACUGGAACAACUUACCGAAAGGUGAGCUAAUGCCGGAUGAGUUAUAUAAGUGCAUGUUUAUAUAGGAAAAGUUGGGGAGACCUGACGCUGAAAGAUGGACUCGCGUCCCAUUAGCUAGUUGGUAGGGUAAUGGCCUACCAAGGCGACGAUGGGUAGCCGGCCUGAGAGGGUGGCCGGCCACACUGGGACUGAGACACGGCCCAGACUCCUACGGGAGGCAGCAGUGGGGAAUUUUGCGCAAUGCUCGUAAGAGUGACGCAGCGACGCCGCGUGAAUGACGAAGGCCUUCGGGUCGUAAAGUUCUUUCGACAGGGAAGAAAAUGCCUAUAAGUAACUGUGUAUGUAUUGACGGUACCUGUAUAAGCAGCCCCGGCUAACUCCGUGCCAGCAGCCGCGGUAAUACGGAGGGGGCGAGCGUUGUUCGGAGUGACUGGGCGUAAAGAGCACGUAGGCGGUGUUGUAAGUCAUUAGUCAAAGACUAGAGCUCAACUUUAGUAAGGCUAGUGAUACUAUAAUACUAGAGUAUCAGAGAGGAUUGCAGAAUUCCUGGUGUAGCGGUGAAAUGCGUAGAUAUCAGGAGGAAUACCGUUAGCGAAGGCGGCAAUCUGGCUGGAAACUGACGCUGAGGUGCGAAAGCGUGGGUAGCAAACAGGAUU